rnacentral:piRNA from 1 species
UGACAAAGCCUGUGAGGUAGUGGAAC